rnacentral:lncRNA from 1 species
UAGGUAAUGGAUUAUUCUUUCCUCCUAAAAGAAAUAGAAAACUGAAUAUAAAAUCCUUAUGAUUAUGUGGAUAGAUAUGUAAAUGAUUAAAAUUAAAUAUUUUCAGUCAGUAGUACUCAAACAUAUCAGUGGUCAUGUUUGAAUUAAUGAAUCAAAAACUUCUGACCAAAUAGCCCAGAAGAUCAUCUCAGAUACAUAUACCUUUCAGUGAGUUCAUGCCCUGCAUUAGAUGCUUUCAGAUUGUUUUAUGGUACUCACUUCAGUUAUAAUGAGAUUAUAAGUAAAUGCCAUCAAUGUAGUUCAUUUUUUCAGAAGACUGAAAUGUCUUCAAUCAGAGGUGCAGAUCUCACUGUGCUCCAGUUGAGUGAAUGGAUGACAAAAUGAGACUUAUUCAAGACCAAAUGGCAAGCAGGUUUGCAUCCCAAGACUGUGAUUACCUGACAAAAGCCUAUUUGAUGCACGUGUAGGAUUUCCUACUACUUUAAAUGACAAAUUUUAGCCUUUACAGUACUGCUGGGCUCUCAAACUUUCGAAAAGGCACUGUGGUUUCUUUCCUUAACCGCAGCUUGGGACUUAUUGAUUUAGAGCCCGUGGCCACAUUAACAAAUUAUUACUCCCGCCUGAUUCUGAUCACCAGGGGAUUGCAGUUUUCUUGUCCCCAAAUCCUCAGCACAGCACUGGCAUUUUGGAGCUCAGCCCAGGAAAGCCAACUCCAGGUGUGAGGCUUCAGCCAGCAUUCCCCCAGUGCAGAAAAAAACAGUAAUUUCCUCACAUUUCUAAACAGCUGUUUCAGUCCCAAAAUGAGCAAAAUAAAAAUAUAAAAUUCAUUCAAGAUUGCUUUAAUUUUGGUGUUUUAGCACAAUGCAACUGCAAAAUUACCUCCAAAUAAUUACAUAAAGAGGUAAGUAAGAAAUAAUUUAUUGACACAUCACUACUGAGCAGCUUUCUCCCAGCAAUUUAAAUAUGCCACACCAAAAGAUGGCAAAUAUGUCUGCAGUAUACUGUGUACUCUUCCUGCAUUUCUUUUAAUAUCUCAGGGCUCCACUGCCUCUUUCUUCAGUUCCCUAGUUACCGUCUGUCAAACUGGAAUUUCACAAUUUUUCUACAUAUGGAUAGUUAAAUCCAGGUUGCUUUUAUUGUAAAGUGGUUUGGCCUUCAGAGAUAAUCCAGUCUGUGUAGAAUCAUGCUAACUUUUUUGUUUUGUUAGUAUCUAAGUUCUAUUUGAUUUUUCAGGUAUUUCUUCAUAUUGACUCAUAUUUUCUGACUUAGUAGUUUGAAUGCUACUUUUGUCAUCUUUCUAAAUCAGUUAAAAUAUACCCAUUAUCUUAAGUAGACUUGAUGAAUUAUAAAAUUCUCACUCGUGCAUAUCCUGUUUUCUAGACAAUUGAUGUAUCAUUCCAGUAUGACAAAUACUUUAGUCAUUCUCACUUUAUUGUGCACAUUAAUUCAUCUCGCAUUAGAAGAACAUUAAGUAUUAUGGACAUGAAUCAUGCUAUGACUGCAUAAAACUUGUUUUAAGAAAACAACAAUACCUAUAUCUAUGUGGC